ACGAACCGUACAAACGUUAUUCGGAAUCACUGGGCUUAAAGGGUGCGUAGGCGGCUUGUUAAGUUGGGUGUGAAAUACCUCGGCUCAACCGAGGAAUUGCGCCCAAAACUGGCGAGCUUGAGGGAGAUAGAGGUGAGCGGAACUUAGGGUGGAGCGGUGAAAUGCGUUGAUAUCCUAAGGAACACCUGUGGCGAAAGCGGCUCACUGGAUCUUUUCUGACGCUGAGGCACGAAAGCUAGGGGAGCGAACGG
rnacentral:rRNA from 1 species